UGGGGAAGUCUUCCGCAAUGGGCGCAAGCCUGACGGAGCAACGCCGCGUGAGUGAAGAAGGUUUUCGGAUCGUAAAGCUCUGUUGAGAGGGACGAGAGAUAUAAUCAGGAAAUGGGUUAUAGAGGACGGUACCUUUCGAGGAAGCCACGGCUAACUACGUGCCAGCAGCCGCGGUAAUACGUAGGUGGCGAGCGUUGUCCGGAAUUAUUGGGCGUAAAGGGCACGCAGGCGGCUUUGCAAGCUUGGUGUGAAAUCUCAGGGCUCAACCCUGAAACUGCAUUGAGAACUGCAUGGCUAGAGUUAGUGAGGGGAAACCCGGAAUUCCAGGUGUAGGGGUGAAAUCUGUAGAUAUCUGGAAGAACACCAAUGGCGAAGGCAGGUU
rnacentral:rRNA from 1 species